UGAACUCAUGUUUCAGAUACCUAGCAGGUUUGGGAGCUACAUCUCUUACCCCUAUUUUGGAGAUCUUCCAUCAAGAUUACUGGUCGGAGAUUGGGAACUCCAUAUCUGAACCUCACCUCCUACUCCUUUGGAAUAUUUUAAAGUGCAAUUUAGUAUUUUUCUACACCUGCACAUGGUGUGCCUACCUCUUAG
rnacentral:lncRNA from 1 species